UACGGAGGGGGCUAGCGUUGUUCGGAAUUACUGGGCGUAAAGCGCGCGUAGGCGGACCUGCAAGUCGGGGGUGAAAGCCCGAGGCUCAACCUCGGAACUGCCUUCGAUACUGCGGGUCUCGAGUCCGGGAGAGGUGAGUGGAAUUCCUAGUGUAGAGGUGAAAUUCGUAGAUAUUAGGAAGAACACCAGUGGCGAAGGCGGCUAACUGGUCCAGAUCUGACGCUGAGGUGCGAAAGCGUGGGGAGCAAACAGG
rnacentral:rRNA from 1 species